rnacentral:rRNA from 1 species
UACGUAGGGGGCUAGCGUUGUCCGGAUUUAUUGGGCGUAAAGGGUGCGUAGGCGGCGCGGUAAGUCGGGUGUGAAAUCUCGGGGCUUAACUCCGAAACUGCAUUCGAUACUGCCGUGCUUGAGGACUGGAGAGGAGACUGGAAUUUACGGUGUAGCGGUGAAAUGCGCAGAUAUCGUAAGGAAGACCAGUGGCGAAGGCGGGUCUCUGGACAGUUCCUGACGCUGAGGCACGAAGGCCAGGGGAGCAAACAGG